AGGGGUUUAAGUUAAUGUAAGACUAAGGGCCUUCAAAGCCCUAAGCGGGGGUUAAAACCCCUCAACCUCUG
rnacentral:tRNA from 1 species